rnacentral:rRNA from 1 species
GACGAACGCUGGCGGCGUGCCUAAUACAUGCAAGUUGAGCGCUGAAGGUUGGUACUUGUACCAACUGGAUGAGCAGCGAACGGGUGAGUAACGCGUGGGGAAUCUGCCUUUGAGCGGGGGACAACAUUUGGAAGCGAAUGCUAAUACCGCAUAAAAACUUUAAACACAAGUUUUAAGUUUGAAAGAUGCAAUUGCGUCACUCAAAGAUGAUCCCGCGUUGUAUUAGCUAGUUGGUGAGGUAAAGGCUCACCAAGGCGAUGAUACAUAGCCGACCUGAGAGGGUGAUCGGCCACAUUGGGACUGAGACACGGCCCAAACUCCUACGGGAGGCAGCAGUAGGGAAUCUUCGGCAAUGGACGAAAGUCUGACCGAGCAACGCCGCGGGAGUGAAGAAGGUUUUCGGAUCGUAAAACUCUGUUGGUAGAGAAGAACGUUGGUGAGAGUGGAAAGCUCAUCAAGUGACGGUAACUACCCAGAAAGGGACGGCUAACUACGUG